ACAAAGACUAGAGAAUCAAAAUGGAUGUUAGAGCUGUGAUAAUAUUGCUCAUCAUCGCAGUGCAAUGUUUGGCUGUGCCCACUCAGAGGUCUUCCGAGAUGAAGGAGAAGAAGAGAAGAAUCCGAAGAAGACCUUCAGAUGGUUACAACAUGUUCAAUGAAAUGACAGCCAUGGAUCAAAUCAUUGAGGCCAACGAGUAUGAAGGAGGCA